UACGGAGGAGGCAAGCGUUAUCCGGAAUUAUUGGGCGUAAAGCGUCCGUAGGUGGUUCACCAAGUCUGCUGUCAAAGGGUGGGGCUUAACCUCAUAAAGGCAGUGGAAACUGGUGAGCUAGAGUGCGGUAGGGGUAAGGGGAAUUCCCAGUGUAGCGGUGAAAUGCGUAGAGAUUGGGAAGAACAUCGGUGGCGAAAGCGCCUUACUGGGCCUGCACUGACACUGAGGGACGAAAGCUAGGGGAGCUAAAGGG
rnacentral:rRNA from 1 species